rnacentral:rRNA from 1 species
GAUGAACGCUAGCGGCAGGCUUAACACAUGCAAGUCGAGGGGCAGCAUAAAGUGUAGCAAUACACUUGGUGGCGACCGGCGGACGGGUGCGUAACGCGUAUGCAACUUUCCCUAAACAGGGGGAUAAUCCGAAGAAAUUUGGUCUAAUACCCCAUAACAUCGUUUGAGGCAUCUCAGAUGGUUGAAAUUUUCGGAGGUUUAGGAUGGGCAUGCGUAGCAUUAGCUUGUUGGUGAGGUAACGGCUCACCAAGGCGACGAUGCUUAGGGGGACUGAAAGGUUAACCCCCCACACUGGUACUGAGACACGGACCAGACUCCUACGGGAGGCAGCAGUGAGGAAUGUUGGUCAAUGCGCGGAAGCCUGAACCAGCCAUGCCGCGUGCAGGAUGACGGCUCUAUGAGUUGUAAACUGCUUUUGUACGAGGGUAAAGUGGGCUACGUGUAGCCUUUUGAAAGUAUCGUACGAAUAAGGAUCGGCUAACUCCGUGCCAGCCGCCGCAGUAAUAC